AAUAGAUACCCGGGUAGUCCACGCCGUAAACGUUGGAUACUAGGUGUGGCGGUUAUACCAAUGACUGCCGUGCCGAAGCUAACGCAUUAAGUAUCCCGCCUGGGGAGUACGGCCGCAAGGCUAAAACUCAAAGGAAUUGACGGGUCCCCGCACAAGCGGCGGAGCAUGCGGCUUAAUUCGAUGCAACCCGAAGAACCUUACCUGGGUUUGACAUCACGGGAAAAGCUGUAGAAAUACAGUGUCCAUUAGGGCCCGUGACAGGUGGUGCAUGGCUGUCGUCAGCUCGUGUCGUGAGAUGUUGGGUUAAGUCCCGCAACGAGCGCAACCCUUGUCCUAUGUUGCCAGCGGUUCGGCCGGGGACUCAUAGGAGACUGCCGGGGAUAACUCGGAGGAAGGUGAGGACGACGUCAAGUCAUCAUGCCCCUUAUAUCCAGGGCUGCACGCAUGCUACAAUGGCCGGUACAACGGGCAGCGACCCCGCGAGGGUGAGCGAAUCCUAAAAAGCCGGUCCCAGUUCGGAUUGAAGUCUGCAACUCGACUUC
rnacentral:rRNA from 1 species